GUGCCAGCAGCCGCGGUAAUACGUAGGCAGCGAGCGUUGUUCGGAGUUACUGGGCGUAAAGGGUGUGUAGGCGGUUGUUUAAGUUUGGUGUGAAAUCUCCCGGCUCAACUGGGAGGGUGCGCCGAAUACUGAAUGACUAGAGUGCGGGAGAGGUGAGUGGAAUUCCUGGUGUAGCGGUGAAAUGCGUAGAUAUCAGGAGGAACACCGGUGGUGUAGACGGCUCACUGGACCGUAACUGACGCUGAGACACGAAAGCGUGGGUAGCAAACAGGAUUAGAUACCCGUGUAGUCC
rnacentral:rRNA from 1 species